UACAGAGGGUGCGAGCGUUGUCCGGAAUCACUGGGCGUAAAGCGUGCGCAGGCGGUUCGCCAAGUCAGGUGUGAAAUCCCCGGGCUUAACCUGGGAAUUGCGCUUGAAACUAGCGGGCUUGAGUGCGGCAGAGGGGGGUGGAAUUCCACGUGUAGCAGUGAAAUGCGUAGAGAUGUGGAGGAACACCGAUGGCGAAGGCAGCGCCCUGGGUCGACACUGACGCUCAUGCACGAAAGCGUGGGGAGCAAACAGG
rnacentral:rRNA from 1 species